rnacentral:tRNA from 1 species
AGGAUAAUAGUUUAAGAAAACAUUUAAGUUGCAUUUAAAAAUUAUUGGCUAUCCAAUUUAUCUUU